UUCUGUCUCAUAUCAGAGCGCCAGUGUUUUACUUUCUUAGGAAUUUCGUUUUUUUUCCUCAGACGAGCAAAGAACACACGCAAGACAAAAUGGAUGUAGGGGACUGAACAUAAAUUGAUACUUGAUUAAGAGACAAACGCUGUAUCCACUAAGCCACACAUUCAUGUAAGAAGUGACAGAAUAACAACUUAAGAAGUUACACUUUGAAUGUCUAGGAUCACGUGUUCUUGUUGAUGGAGUUGGUUGCACAAUCUUUUUACACAAGCCCAUGUUAAAUAUAUACACGCCAAGCCAAUGGGUUAGUGUAAGGGAGGAAAUAUUACCGUGUAAUGUUUGCUCAGAGCAACAGGAAGCAUUUCUACCCUUUAUGGGUUUAUAACGUUAGAACAGGUGACAGUUUCAGGCUAUGUAAACUUUCCUUCCACCUCCAGAUGAAAUAUCAACAUUGACAAUGCACAAAACAGAAGUGUAGAACAUUCCUCCUGUUCAGCUUCACAUAUCCGUUAGUCUAUUGAAAUUUUGGGGCGCCACACAUGAUCUGUUGACCGCCUUUUUCCAUUUCUCUGUUUUAUUUGCCUUGAAAAAAUAAUAAUAUAAUAAUAACAAAACAACAGGCAGAAGAAAUUAGGAGAUUAGGAAGUUAUAUUGACCAAUGUAAAAAAAUGCUAAAUAAAACUUUAUGGCCAUGUCACAAGAUCCUCAAGGCUCGCAAAGACCCUCUUACUCUGUUCAUAGAUAUUUCAGGUGGCUGUCCUCAUUCUAGCUAUGUGUAAAUCCCAAAGACAUUGUGUCGUUGAGACUUAUGAUUGGUUUAAUGGAACAACACAAUAAUUUUUAAUAAAUAAAGUUUAGAGGUGUUUUUUUU